rnacentral:rRNA from 1 species
CUUGAACGCUGGCGGCAGGCCUAACACAUGCAAGUCGAGCGGAGCGGCGGACGGGUGAGUAAUUCCUAGGAAUCUGCCUGGUAGUGGGGGAUAACGUCCGGAAACGGGCGCUAAUACCGCAUACUAUCAGAUGAGCCUAGGUCGGAUUAGCUAGUUGGUGGGGUAAAGGCCUACCAAGGCGACGAUCCGUAACUGGUCUGAGAGGAUGAUCAGUCACAGAGGAACUGAGACACGUUGCAGAGUCCUACGUGAGGCAGCAGUGGGGAAUAUUGGACAAUGGGCGAAAGAAGGGUCCAGCCAGGCGGCGUGUGUGAAGAAGGUCUUCGGAUGGUAAAGCACUUUAAGUUGGGAGGCGUUACCAACAGAAUAAGCACCGGCUAACUUCGUGCCAGCAGCCGCGGUAAUAC